rnacentral:rRNA from 1 species
UUCUACGACUUUAUUGUUGUUUGAAUGUGGACUUGGAUGUUGCCGUUUUAUCACGGCUCGUCUUAAAUGCCUGAGUGUACCCUGUUUUGCAGCGUAUCCAGUGUAAUAAGCAUUUCACUAGAGUUGGUCGAAAGACCGCGUUGCCUAUAUGGGCUCUAUGCUUCAAACCGUCUACCAUGUGGACAAUUUCUUGACAAUUUGACCUCAAAUCGGGUGGGACUACCCGCUGAACUUAAGCAUAUCAAUAAGCGGAGGAAAAGAAACUAACAAGGAUUCCCCUAGUAACGGCGAGUGAAGAGGGAAAAGCUCAAAUUUUGAAUCUGGUGUCUUUGACUCCCGAGUUGUAAUCUAGAGAAGUGUUUUCCGUGUCGGACCGUGUACAAGUUCCCUGGAACGGGGCGUCAUAGAGGGUGAGAAUCCCGUAUAUGCCACGGACUACCGAUGCUCUGUGAUACACUCUCAACGAGUCGAGUUGUUUGGGAAUGCAGCUCAAAAUGGGUGGUAAAUUCCAUCUAAAGCUAAAUAUUGGCGAGAGACCGAUAGCGAACAAGUACCGUGAGGGAAAGAUGAAAAGCACUUUGGAAAGAGAGUGAAACAGUACGUGAAAUUGUUGAAAGGGAAGCGUUUGAAGUCAGUCGCAUCUGUUGGGGUUCAGCCUGGCUUUUGCCUGGUGUAUUUCCUUUCCGAUGGGUCAGCAUCAGUUUCGACCGAGGGAAAAAGACAUUUGGAAUGUGGCUGUCUUCGGGCAGUGUUAUAGCCUUGUGUUGUAUGUCUCGGUUGGGACUGAGGAUUGCAGCGCGCCAUAAAUGGCCGGGGGUCGCUCCUCUCGACACGCGCUUAGGAUGCUGGCAUAUGGCUUUAAGCG